rnacentral:rRNA from 1 species
UGGGGAAUAUUGGGCAAUGGGGGCAGCCCUGACCCAGCGACGCCGCGUGGGGGAAGACGGCCUUCGGGUUGUAAACCUCUUUUGUACGGGAAUAAGGGAGUGACGGUACUGUACGAAUAAGUCCCGGCUAACUACGUGCCAGCAGCCGCGGUAAUACGUAGGGGACGAGCGUUGUCCGGAAUUACUGGGCGUAAAGGGCGCGCAGGCUGUGCUGCAAGUCAGCUGUUAAAUGUCUGGGCUUAACCCGGGCAUGCGGUUGGGACUGCGGUGCUGGAGUGCUGUAGAGGCAAGUGGAAUUCCCAGUGUAGCGGUGAAAUGCGUAGAUAUUGGGAAGAACACCGGUGGCGAAGGCGACUUGCUGGGCAGCAACUGACGCUGAGGCGCGAAAGCCAGGGGAGCAAACGG